rnacentral:ncRNA from 1 species
AAGUUAAUAUGUAUCAAUGGUACUUAAAGUUUAAAAGGGAAAGCGGUGAAAAUCCGCUGCAGCCCCCGCUACUGUAUACGGAGACGAAUUCCUAUCCACUGAUUUUUCGGGAAGGAGGAAGGAGGAUGACCCGUCAGCCAGGAGACCUGCCUUGAUACUGCUAAUUAC